rnacentral:lncRNA from 1 species
GCUUCGUUUUCAUGUCAGAUUUUUAUAAAUAUAUGUAUUUAGAAAUGUUCAUAUUUAUCUGUACCACCAGCGCCAGCCAUUCUGGGUGUCAGCACACAAGCUUUCGAUGCGCAGAAAUGGGACUGUAUGUAUCGGGUACUGACACCUGGCCGCGCAUCUGAAGACUUCCUGUGGCCUAACAUAAUACUCACAUUCACAUUCAUCAUUUCUAAGAGCAUUCGUUUGGAUCAGUGUUCACCCACAAGACUGUAAACCAGCCACAUUUCCAGAGCUCUAAUACAGUGACGUCCAUAAUUGUAUCUUUCUUUGGAGUUCUGCUGAGCACAGACUACGGGGAAAACGCAGGAACAGCUUGUUCUCCCCCACUUCGUCUCUCUGGACCUGCACGCUGUGGAAUCCUGUUUACUGUCAGAGCCCAAGCAGCGAAGCAGCGCCUCCGGAAAAAAACUGGGGCAUGUGUGCCUUGGUGGGUGCUGCUUUGUCUCGGCAUCGUGGUCCGUUUGCGGCCUUUUCAAGUCCAGCUACAGCUCCCACACACGGCAAAGCUUCAGCAUUUUGUCAUGUGAACACUGACCCCGCCCCCAAACUGCGAGACUUCAGCGCAACACUGUCCGUCCAAGAUAACAAAGCCUGUCGCUGAUACUCUCUGGAGUAGAAAGGUCACGCCCGGCUUCGUCUGAGAAGAGGCCGGAUCCUGAGCUGAAGGAGAGUUGUUGGUCCAUGAAAACAGUCGACCUGACCCGACUGUCCUUUUCUUCCCCUCCGGGAAACGACACGCUUGUGCAUAGCAGACUCCACAAUAGCCGCCCUGUAAAGGACUUCAAUGGGCUGCCAAAAUCUUUUUCUCACGCUUUUCCAAUCCCGCCAUGAAGUGUGCGUCCAAAAGCCGAUCCUCCAGAACGCAAUAGGCACAACCCGGUCACCCUUCUGCAACAAAGAGCAAUCAAGCUAUGAUAUACGGGCGAAACAUAAUCAUAAUCAUAAGGAGGGAUGUAAGCCGGACGAGUACUGCUUCAUCGUGAGAGGAGGUGGACUCUUCAGAAGUUUUUGAACCUGGUGGCAGUUGGCAGCUCGUUUCAACCGUGGGGAACCACAAACAGGAGGAGUCUUAAUUGGGUGUGCAUUGUGUGGUAGGAAUGAGAGGACUGUCAGAGUCUUGAACAGUAAUGUGGCCAGUGCAUGUCGGGCUGUCUGGGCUGAUCGAAAACCAGUUCGAGCUGCUUCGUUCUGAACCAGUUUCCAUAUUGCACAUGAUGGAAGACCAACAAAGAGUGGACUGCAUUGGUGAAGCCGAGAGAUAACCAAAGUCUGUUCCAAGCCUAUAUAGCAAACCGUAC